GGGAUGGAGGAGCCGCCUUGUGCAAAGUCCCGGGAGAGGGUUGUGUUUUUCAGCCCACUGCUGAUCGCUUUUAACACCCGAGCUGCUGUAAUUUCGCCUCCCGUGCCCCGCGGGGAGCGGAGCGGGCGCGCAGCCCCAGGACCAGCACCCACUUUGGGGGGCUCGAAGCGAAGAUACCCCCGCAUACACCCCCCUCAUCCUCACCCCACACACUGAUUUUCAAGGCAGAAAUCAGCGCAGAGGACACGGUCCCCACCCGGGCCUUUCCCUGCCUUACCCCGCAAAAAACGCGUGGAAAGAGUAAAUGAAGUUAAUGAAGAAAAUUAACAGCGAUUAGUAACAGCGCCGGGGUCCGGCAGAGCUGCUGCUCCGGCCAGAAAAGUGUCUGGUAACAAUUACAAAGAUACCCCGCGCAUAAACAAAAGAAAUUAGCCCCUGGAAUGAUAUUAAACAGUAUAAAAUUAACCGAAAGUUGCAAUAAGUGAGGGAUUAAAAAGGACCUGGCAUUAAUUCGUGGGUCUGAAGAGAGCCCAGGAGAAGGGGGACAGAGGUGUGCUGAACCUUUAAUUAAUAUUUGGCUGGAACAUACCUUAUUCAUAAUAUUCAUUGAUGUAGUUACUCCACAAACAGACAGGGAUAAUUUGUUUAGAUAGAUAAAAAUAACCUUCAGAGAAACUGAUGCCUAAACGAAUCGGGCCCUCAAAUAAAAUACAAAAUAAAGUCUGACUUAAAAGUGAGUUCCGUACUCCCCAAACAAGAGAAAUAAAUAGGAGGCUCCGCAAGCCCUUGUGAGGAGUACGGGAGAGUGAAGCUCAGCAGGUGAGAGGGAAAAGCGUGGCCUUCAAAAUCUGUCAGCAUCAAACCAACUAAAGGAACAGGAUUAUCAAACAGUGGGAGAGAAACAAUAUUUUAAAUUAUCAUUAAAUUAUGGAGACAAGCUCUCGAAAGGAGG